rnacentral:tRNA from 1 species
AGGGUAGGUUCGGCGCUCACCUUGACAUGGUGGGGGUCGUUGGUUCGAAUCCAAUUGUGCCUACCA